rnacentral:rRNA from 1 species
CCUACGGGAGGCAGCAGUGGGGAAUAUUUCACAAUGGGGGAAACCCUGAUGCAGCGACGCCGCGUGAGUGAAGAAGUAUUUCGGUAUGUAAAGCUCUAUCAGCAGGGAAGAAAAGUACGUUACCUGAUUAAGAAUCCCCGGCUAACUACGUGCCAGCAGCCACGGUAAUACGUAGGGGGCGAGCGUUAUCCGGAUUGACUGGGUGUAAAGUGAGCGUAGACGGCAGCGCAAGUCUGAAGUGAAAUGCCGGGGCUUAACCCCGGAACUGCCUUGGAAACUGUGCAGCUAGAGUGCAGGAGAGGAAAGUGGAAUUCCUAGUGUAGCGGUGAAAUGCGUAGAUAUUAGGAGGAACACCAGUGGCGAAGGCGGCUUACUGGAAUGUAACUGACGUUGAGGCGCGAAAGCGUGGGGAGCAAACAGGAUUAGAUACCCGAGUAGUC